rnacentral:rRNA from 1 species
UACGUAGGGAGCGAGCGUUGUCCGAAGUUACUGGGCGUAAAGCGCGCGUAGGCGGGUUUGAAAGUCGGAGGUGAAAUGCUGGGGCUCAACUCCAUGCAGUGCCUCCGAUACUUCAAGUCUUGAGUGCGGUAGGGAGAAGUGGAAUGGCUGGUGUAGCGGUGAAAUGCGUAGAGAUCGGGAGGAACACCAGUGGCGAAGGCGACUACCUGGCCUGUUCUUGACGCUGAGGCGCGAAAGCUAGGGGAGCAAACAGG